rnacentral:rRNA from 1 species
AACGAACGCUGGCGGCAUGCCUAACACGUGCAAGUCGAACGAGACCUUCGGGUCUAGUGGCGCACGGGUGCGUAACGCGUGGGAACCUGCCCUUAGGUUCGGAAUAACUCCCCGAAAGGGGUGCUAAUACCGGAUAAUGUCUUCGGACCAAAGAUUUAUCGCCUUUGGAUGGGCCCGCGUUGGAUUAGCUAGUUGGUAGGGUAAAAGCCUACCAAGGCGACGAUCCAUAGCUGGUCUGUGAGGAUGAGCAGCCACACUGGGACUGAGACAAGGCCCAGACUCCUACGGGAGGCAGGAGUGGGGAAUAUUGGACAACGGGCGAAAGGCUGAUCCAGCAAGGCCGGGUGAGUGAUGAAGGCCUUAGGGUUGUAAAGCUCUUUUACCCGGGAUGAUAAUGACAGUACCGGGAGAAUAAGCACCGGCUAACUCCGUG